rnacentral:rRNA from 1 species
GGGAAUAUUGGACAAUGGGCGAAAGCCUGAUCCAGCCAUGCCGCGUGUGUGAAGAAGGCCUUUUGGUUGUAAAGCACUUUAAGCGAGGAGGAGGCUACUUGGAUUAAUACUCUAGGAUAGUGGACGUUACUCGCAGAAUAAGCACCGGCUAACUCUGUGCCAGCAGCCGCGGUAAUACAGAGGGUGCGAGCGUUAAUCGGAUUUACUGGGCGUAAAGCGUGCGUAGGCGGCUUUUUAAGUCGGAUGUGAAAUCCCUGAGCUUAACUUAGGAAUUGCAUUCGAUACUGGGAAGCUAGAGUAUGGGAGAGGAUGGUAGAAUUCCAGGUGUAGCGGUGAAAUGCGUAGAGAUCUGGAGGAAUACCGAUGGCGAAGGCAGCCAUCUGGCCUAAUACUGACGCUGAGGUACGAAAGCAUGGGGAGCAAACAGGAUUAGAUACCCUGGUAGUCCAUGCCGUAAACGAUGUCUACUAGCCGUUGGGGCCUUUGAGGCUUUAGUGGCGCAGCUAACGCGAUAAGUAGACCGCCUGGGGAGUACGGUCGCAAGACUAAAACUCAAAUGAAUUGACGG